rnacentral:rRNA from 1 species
AUUGAACGCUGGCGGCAUGCUUUACACAUGCAAGUCGAACGGUAACGGGCCGCAAGGUGCUGACGAGUGGCGAACGGGUGAGUAAUGCAUCGGAACGUGCCCAGUCGUGGGGGAUAACGCAGCGAAAGCUGUGCUAAUACCGCAUACGAUCUAUGGAUGAAAGCGGGGGACCGUAAGGCCUCGCGCGAUUGGAGCGGCCGAUGUCAGAUUAGGUAGUUGGUGGGGUAAAGGCUCACCAAGCCAACGAUCUGUAGCUGGUCUGAAAGGACGACCAGCCACACUGGGACUGAGACACGGCCCAGACUCCUACGGGAGGCAGCAGUGGGGAAUUUUGGACAAUGGGCGCAAGCCUGAUCCAGCAAUGCCGCGUGCAGGAAGAAGGCCUUCGGGUUGUAAACUGCUUUUGUACGGAACGAAACGGUCUGGGUUAAUACCUCGGGCUAAUGACGGUACCGUAAGAAUAAGCACCGGCUAACUACGUGCCAGCCGCCGCAGUAAAAC